GCCUGCCUAUGCAUGCAAGUCGAACGAGGGGGGACUUCCGUCCUGAGUAAGGUGGCGCAGGGAUGAAUAACUGGUGGGCCACCUGCCUCUAUUAUUGGGAUAACCUGUCGAACGACGAGCUAAUACCAGAUAAGACCACCUCUUCCUCAAAAGCAGAGGCCAAGUGUCCCCUCUAUUUAUAAUCUAUCUUUUAGAGAUGGGCCUGCACCCCUUUAUCUAUUUGGGGGGGUAACGGCCUACCAGGGCAAAUAUGGUUAUCUGGUCUGAGAAGAUGAUCCCCCACACUGGAACUGACACACGGUCCACACUCCUACGGGAGGCAGCUGUGGGGAAUAUUGCGCAGUGGGCGAAAGCCUGACACAACAACCCCGCGUGAGUGAUAAACGCCUUCGGGUCAUAAAGCUCUCUCGGAGGGAACGAAUGUUUUCGAGGUUAACAGCCUUGAAAAGUGACUGUACCUUCAAAGGAAGCACCGGCUAACUCUGUGCCAGCACCCGCGGUAAUACAGAGGGUGCAAGCGUUGUUCAGAAUCAGUGGGCGUAAAGGGCGUGUACGCGGUUUGUUAAGUCGUGUGUGAUAUCUCUCGGCUUAACCGGGAGAACGACGCAAGACACUGGCAAUCUAGAGUACCAAAGAGGGGGGGUGGAAUUCCCGGUGUAGCGGAGAAAUGCAUAUAUCUCGAGGAAGAACACCUGUGGCGAACGCGGCCCCCUGGUUAGGAUACUGACUCUGAGACGCGAGAGCGUGUGGAGCAAACAGGAUUGAUACCCCGGUAGUCCACGCUGUAAACGAUGGGCACUAGGUGUCUGGGGUAUUGACCCCCUGGGUGCGGCAGCUAACGCAUUAAGUGUCCCGCGCGGGGAGUACGGUCGCAAGAUUAAAACUCAAAGGAAUUGACGGGGGCCCGCACAAGCGGUGGAGCAUGUGGUUCAAUUUGACGCAACGCGAAGAACCUCACCUGGGCUAGACAACAGCGGACCGUGUUAGAAAUAGGAUUUUUCCUUUGGGGACCGCUGGUUCAGGUGUUGCAUGGCGGUGUUCAGCUCGUGCCCUGAGGUGUUGGGUUAAGUCCCGCAACGAGAGCAACCCUCUUAUUUAGUUGCCACCAUUCAGUUGGGCACUCUAAGUAGACAGCCGGGGUUAAGCCGGAGGAAGGUGGGGAGGAGGUCAAGUCUUCAUGGCCCUUAUGUCCAGGGCCACACACAUGCUACAAUGGGGGGUACAAAGGGUCGCAAACCCGUGAGGGGGAGCCAAUCCCAAAAAGCCGCUCUCAGUUCGGAGGGGAGUAUUCAACUAGACUCCACGAAGUAGAAUCGUUAGUAAUCGCGGAUCAGCAAGCA
rnacentral:rRNA from 1 species